AUGUACUUUGAGGCUGCUAGGACACCAUUGGAGCAGAAAACUGAAAUUGCUGUCACUUACCUCAAAGGGCCAGCAAUAGAGUGGUGGAGAGGAACUGGAAUUAUUGCCAAUACCUUACCCUGGUACAGGUUCUGUAGACUGAUUGGAGACAGGUUUUCAGAAACUUCAGUAUGUGACAAUGUCAGAACUUUUCAUGCCCUCAACCAAACUGGGUCUGUUAAUGACUAUGUUCUCAAGUUUGAACAAUCCAUGAACUUACUCAGGAGGGACAACCCUGCACUACCUGCUGAUUAUUACAAAGCUAGUUUCAUCGCUGGCCUGAGUGACUCUAUCCAACAUUAUGUUCAAUGUCAUGAACCAGCAGACCUACAAAAAGCCAUAUGGUUGGCCAGAAGAAUGGAACAAGCUCAGCCCAGCAAGAAAACACCAGUGGCUUAUAUUAAUCAGCCAGUUAGGAGGCAGGUUCAGUUUGACCCAGGAAAGCCCCCUCCUAACAACACACCUACUGUCAUCCAACAGGCCAGAAUGAAAGGGAUCUGCUACAAGUGCAAAGAACCAUGGUUUCCUGGCCACAAGAAAGUUUGCAAAUUGGUAAAUCAAAUGCAGAUACAAGCCUUGCAAGAGACCUGCCCUGAGGAUGCAGAAUUGGUCUACUACACGGCUGAUGAUACUGAAGCUCCACCUCUCACUGACUUGGAUGACACCCCCUUGCAAAUCUCUAUGCAUGCCCUCAUGGGAGUUACUUCCUCCAAGCUGAGUUUCACUGUGACAGUCAUGUUGGGAGACAAACCUGCAACUGCCCUCAUUGAUAGCGGCAGCACUGCAACAUUUGUAACUCCUGCACUAGCAAAGUUGGCUCUGUGUGCCCUCACACCAACUAAGAAAAAGAAAGUGUUAGUGGCCAAUGGAGCAACUUUAUGGACUGAAUUCAUUGCUCUCCAAUGCCCUUUUGUGGUGCAAGGAACUGAAUUUUCCCAUGAUUUCAGAGUCCUACAGUUACAAGGUUAUGAUGUGAUACUGGGAGCUGAUUGGAUGAAAAUUGUUAGUCCUGUACAGCUAGAUUUUGAGGAAAUGGAAGUACAAGUCACAUUGAAAUCGGGAGAAAAGAAAAUCUUCAAGGAUGAAAGCCUACCCAGUGAGCCAGUUCAAGAAAUGGACAGUAUGGAGCACUUAUCUGAUGACAAUAUCUGUGGGGCUGUGUUGCUGCUAAACAGAAUUGCUCUGACAGAACAUGAGGACACUGUUGUUCCCCCUCCUGUCCAAGAACUUCUGGGUCAGUACAAAGAUAUUUUUGGAACUCCUACUGAUUUACCUCCUAAGAGAACUGUUGAUCAUGCUAUUCCCUUUGAACCUGGUGCAAAAGUUAUAAACCAAAGGCCAUACAGAUUGCCUUAUCACCAAAAGGAAGCUAUGGAACAGAUCAUUCAGGAAAUGAUUAAAAACAAAGUGAUCAGAGAUAGUUCAAGUCCUUACUCCUCUCCUGCAAUUUUGGUGAAAAAGAAAGACCUAUCCUGGAGACUUUGCAAUGAUUUCAGAAAGGUCAAUACUCAGACUAUCAAAAACAAGUACCCCAUCCCUGUUAUUGAGGACUUGUUGGAUGAACUGCAUGGAGCCACUGUUUUCACUAAACUUGAUCUCAGAAGUGGUUACCACCAGAUAAGAAUGAAGGAAGAGGAUAUUGAGAAAACUGCUUUUAGCACCCACUGUGGGAACUAUGAAUACUUGGUCAUGCCUUUUGGUUUAACCAAUGCUCCUGCAACUUUCCAAAUGCUCAUGAAUACUAUCCUAGCCAAGUAUCUCAGAAAAUUUGUACUAGUAUUAUUUGAUGAUAUUUUGGUAUUCAGUAAAAAUAUGAAGGAGCACAUACUUCACUUGAAACAAGUAUUUGAAACACUGAAGGAACACCAGCUGUACAUCAAAGCAAGCAAAUGUGUCUUUGCUCAGCCUCAGGUGGAGUACUUGGGACAUGUUAUUAGGGCUGAUGGAGUUGCAACUGACCCAAUCAAAAUUCAGGCAGUGCAACAAUGGCCAAAACCUGAAAAUGUCACACAGCUAAGGAGUUUUUUAGGGUUGACAGGUUACUAUAGAAGAUUUGUGGAAAAUUAUGGACUCAUUUGCAGGCCUCUGUUUAACUCCCUAAAAAAAGGCAGUUUCACUUGGGGGCAAGAGCAAGUUCAAGCUUUCAAUACCCUGAAGAACAAAAUGACACAAGCCCCAGUGUUGGCCCUACCAGACUUCUCAAAGCCUUUCAUCUUGGAAACAGAUGCUUGUGCCUAUGGACUAGGUGCAGUUCUAAUGCAAGAGGGGAGACCUAUUUCCUUUUUCAGUAAAGCAAUUGGUCCUAGAGCAGCUGCAUAUUCCACUUAUGACAAGGAAGCUUUAGCAAUUAUUGAAGCUCUCAAGCACUGGAAACAUUAUUUUGUUGCAUCCUCUCUCAUCAUCAGAACUGAUCAACAGAGUUUAAAAUAUAUACAAGAACAAAAACUCACUGAGGGAAUUCAGCACAAGCUCCUGGUCAAACUUCUUGGCUACAAUUACACUGUGGAGUACAAGCAGGGAAAGAAAAAUAAAGUCGCUGAUGCCCUUUCCAGGGUGCACCACAAAAUUCAUGCACUAAUUGCUUCUUCUGUCAAACCUGCCUGGGUAACUGAAGUUGUUGGCAGCUACAAAAAUGACCAAAGAUGCAAGGAUCUACUAGCUCAACUGAUUGUAAAUAUUGAUUCUGUGACCAACUACACUGUGCAACAGGGUGUGUUCAGAUACAAAAACAGAAUUGUCAUUGGAGCUGGUAACACCAUCAGAACUAAAUUGCUAGCUGCUUUACAUAGCUCUGAACUGGGUGGCCAUUCAGGACACAGAGCUACAUACCAAAGAGUUAAGCUUCUCUUCCACUGGCCUGGCAUGAAGCAAUUUGUUGUGGACUAUAUUAAACAAUGCCCUACCUGUCAAAUAAAAAAAGCAGAACACUGCAAGUACCCUGGGCUACUCCAACCUCUGCCAGUCCCAGACUUUGCCUGGUGCCACAUAAGCAUGGAUUUUGCGGAAGGUCUCCCUACUUCUCACAACAAGAACAUCAUCUUGGUUGUGGUCGACAGAUUCACUAAAUACAGCCACUUUAUCCCAAUGAAACACCCCAUUACAGCUAAUAUUGUAGCUAAGGCUUUCACUGACAACAUCUUCAAACUCCAUGGACUACCAGCUGUGAUUGUCACUGACAGAGACAAAAUCUUCACCAGCAAGCUUUGGCAGGACUUGUUCAAGAAGUUGGGAAUCAAGUUACACAUGAGCACUUCUUAUCACCCUCAGUCUGAUGGUCAGACAGAAAGAGUCAAUCAGUGUCUUGAAAAUUAUCUCAGAUGCAUGGCCUUCAUCCAACCACCAAAGUGGCUCAACUGGUUAUCCCUAGUAGAAUGGUGGUACAAUACUAGCUACCACACAGCCCUCAAGCUCACCCCCUUCCAGGCCCUGUAUGGCAGACCUCCUCAUAUGCUAGUUGAAUUUGCUCUUUAUCCUGUGGAAGAAUUGGAACAGUUCCCUGAUGUACUCACUGCUGAACAAACCGCAGCACAUAUUAAGGAAAAUCUCCUGAGGGCUCAAGCCAGAAUGAAACAUUACGCUGACAAGAAGAGAUUUGAGAGAACUUUGGAAAUGGGUGACAUGGUCUACCUGAAACUACAACCUUACAGGCAUACCACUCUCAGCAUCCAUAGAUGUCCCAAGCUGCAUUCCAAAUUUUAUGGCCCAUUCAGAGUUAUCCAGAAAGUUGGUCCAGUGGCUUACAAGCUCCUUCUUCGUGACGAUUGCAAACUUCAUGAUACUUUUCAUGUGAGCCAGCUCAAGAAGCAUAUUGGUCCAAUGGCAAUUCCAAACCCCAAGCUCCCCUUGCUCAAUCCGGAUGGAACAAUCUUACUGGAACCAGAACAACUGCUCGAACGCAAACUGGUACCGCGUGUGCAAGGCAACAUCAGUAUUCCUGUGGUUCGAUGGCUCAUAAAAUGGAGUAAUCUACCUCUGGAGGAGGCCACUUGGGAGGACGCCACAUUCAUACAAAAAGUGUUUCCUAAUUUCCAACCCUGA
rnacentral:rRNA from 1 species